rnacentral:rRNA from 1 species
GACGAACGCUGGCGGCGUGCUUAACACAUGCCAGUCGAACGGAAAGGCCUGCUUUCCCUUGUGGAUUGCGGGUACUCGAGUGGCGAACGGGUGAGUAAUACGUGAGUGAUCUGCCCCCAACUUGGGUAUAAGCCUGGGAAACUGGGUCUAAUUCCCGAUAGGACUGCAGGGUGGUGCCUGUGGUGGAAAACGAUUUUCUAGUGGUUGGGGAUGAGCUCGCGGCCUAUCAGCUUGUUGGUGGGGUAAUGGCCUACCAAGGCGGCGACGGGUAGCCGGCCUGAGAGGGUGGACGGCCACAUUGGGACUGAGAUACGGCCCAGACUCCUACGGGAGGCAGCAGUGGGGAAUAUUGCACAAUGGGCGGAAGCCUGAUGCAGCGACGCCGCGUGGGGGAUGACGGCCUUCGGGUUGUAAACUCCUUUCGACCGCGAGGAAGCCACCUGGUUGGAAGGGUGGUGACGGUAGUGGUAGAAGAAGCACCGGCUAACUACGUG